CUUUACUGUCUCGAUAAAUAAGUGUUAUACUCUCAAACCAAGAGCUCUAUGUUUUUUUCCCAAUUCUCUUCUCAUCCUCACUGGAAUUGGAGGAGUGAGUGAGUGACCAGCUGUUUUGCUGAGCUGCUUGCCAGGUAAACUACAAGAGGAUUAACUACUGUUUAAAACAAAACAGAAAAACACCUAUGCCUUUGUUGCUACAGAUCUGUCUCCCUGUUUGGACAGAUUCUAGAAUACUCUAUUAGACAGUAAUAAUGGGAACAGUGGCUUUCAUACUUGGGGUUUGGAGGAAAGGCCAGCUGCAUGGUUUGCAUAUGCAGGUGGAAAUGGGACAGUGUGUUUCUGCCUUUGCUACCAAGCAGUCUGAUGUAAGUACUUAAAGAACUGGCACAGUUACCUCCCAUGAACCUUCUCUUCUAUCAAGUCAUGGCUGAGGAUGGUGGGGAGCACAGAAUUGCCUUCCCUCUCCCAGGAGCAGGGACCAGGACAUAAACUGCCAGGAUGUGUUCUGAAAAUGAGUACUAGAAACAAGUAGAUGAGAAGAAAUUGCAUGCUUUCCUCCCCGGGAUAUAUCAAGAUUUGCUUUUAUUUUGAGGAAGAUGGAAUUUUAACACCAGCCCACAGAACAUUCAUUUGGAGAAAUUGAAAUGCUUUGUUUUGGCAUUUUUGAUUGAAAUAAAACACUGUAUUCCUGAA